CGGCUGUGGAGCUUGGACAACAAGACGUGUGUGCAAGAGAUCACGGCCCACCGCAAGAAGCACGAGGAGGCCAUCCACGCCGUCGCCUGCCACCCCAGCAAGGCCCUCAUCGCCAGCGCCGGUGCUGACGCCCUGGCCAAGGUCUUCGUAUGAUGCCCACCUGGCCCCGCCCUGGCCGCCGAGCCAGCUGGGGAGCGGGGCUGGGCAAGCGGGGCUGAGGUGCCUCCUGGCCGCACCCCAGGGCCGAGCCCCUGCCUGGACUGGCCCGCCUGCCAAGGAGCCUGGUGGUGCUAAUGGCCCUUUCCUCUGGGCUCCCCUUCCCCAUGCACCCAGUCUGGGGAUGGCCCCUCAGGAAUCGCCCUUGAGGGUGGCCUUGGCGGUUUCUCCCGCCCUGACACUCACCCCUGGCAACAGCCACCUUCUUGAGGGUGGCACAGCCAGGGCUGGUGUCCUCGGGAUCAGUUUUCUGAGAAGCCAGAAGGUGCCAGGUUCUCCCCUCAAGCCCCCACCCUCCUCUGUCCUCUCAGACCUGGGGGGGCCUAUGCUGGGAUGCAUCCAGACACCCCCUGGGCAGGCUGCACGCUGGGUGCUCCACCACAGACGGGCCGUCCUGGAGAGCACCAUCCGGCUCCCCUCCCUGGCCCUUCACACUGCUUUCCAGACACUAACCAGCGCCCCCAGGGCCACAGACUGCCAGGGAGGAUGCGCCCUCCCCUCCAGCACCCUCCCAGGGCAGCCCUGCCAGCCCCCACGGGUCACCGUGGGAAGAGAUGGCCUCCUCCGCCCCUCCCUGGGCAUGGAGGGUGGAGUGGGGCCCCCUGGGUCCCCUGUAACUCCCUGUAUAUCUGUAUAAAUAAGUGGGAUUUUAAUGGCACCCUGCCCCACCCGCGUUAUCACUGUGUGAUAGUCUUCGUCAGCCCCCCUUCCCCUCUAUUUAUUUCACUCUCUCUGUUUGGGUUCCACCCUGCGCCCUCAGUCCCUUCCAGGUUCCUGUUUAUAAGCCCCACCCCCUCUGCCCCCGAUCUUGUAUGUGAACACUUGUCUCAAUAAACCCUUUGGAGUAAGAUG